GGGAGCUUGCUCCCAUUUCUCAGCGGCGGACGGGUGAGUAACACGUGGGCAACCUGCCCUACAGACUGGGAUAACUCCGGGAAACCGGAGCUAAUACCGGGUAAUACAUAGCAUCGCAUGAUGCAACGUUGAAAGUUGGCCUCUGGCUAACACUGUAGGAUGGGCCCGCGGCGCAUUAGCUAGUUGGUAAGGUAACGGCUUACCAAGGCCACGAUGCGUAGCCGACCUGAGAGGGUGAUCGGCCACACUGGGACUGAGACACGGCCCAGACUCCUACGGGAGGCAGCAGUAGGGAAUCUUCCGCAAUGGACGAAAGUCUGACGGAGCAACGCCGCGUGAGUGACGAAGGCCUUCGGGUCGUAAAGCUCUGUUGUUAGGGAAGAACAAGUACCGUUCGAAUAGGGCGGUACCUUGACGGUACCUAACCAGAAAGCCACGGCUAACUACGUGCCAGCAGCCGCGGUAAUACGUAGGUGGCAAGCGUUGUCCGGAAUUAUUGGGCGUAAAGCGCGCGCAGGCGGUCUCUUAAGUCUGAUGUGAAAGC
rnacentral:rRNA from 1 species